UUCCACUUUAUAGAACAAAUGGACUUUUAAUUUAAUUUUAAACGCUCAAAACCGAUAAAACCAUUUGAAUCAUUUCGCCUUCAUUAAUAGCGGGCGAAAGCGAUUUUUAAUUUACAAAAUGGGAAUGAAUGAACUCAUAUUCACAGCUCAAACUUCUUGGCUGGCAGAUGGCCACAUUUCUAUUCGUUUUAACGAGUAAGCUCCCAUAAGCCGUGUAUCGCAAUACAUGAACAAUCCCUGUGUCCCAGCCUGAUAAGAAAUGUGUACUUUAUUUUGUGGCUAAAUUAAUAUAUGAUAUCAUGAACAUAGCUGAUAAAACAGCUGAUACAUACAGACAUCUGCUAUAGUAUUAUAUGUACUUCAUAAACGAUAAAAAAGAGAGAGCCUAGAGCUGAUAGUCAUCCAAGAUUUAUAUGCGGGCUGUAAAUCAGUAUAAAAUCAAACUUUACUGCCAGACGGCUGGACCAACAAGUGGCCCAAGCGACGACACCAGGCCAAAGAUUCCAGACAGCGGGAACAUGGGAACAUAUGCAGGAAAUGAUCAAAUUUGACUUAUAGCGUCACGGUUCGCGCACCGAUUCCCUCUUUGUGUAAAUACUCUACUACAGAUCGGAACGAGCCAAAGGUUCUGCAGGAGACGAUUACUUGAAUUAUUUUCAUCGAAAUCAGAAUCACCUACCGCUCACCGCUUUAAAGGGGCAACUCAGGUUCGAAAACUUUUUGAGUCCCUUUGCGUACAUUUUAAACAAGCGAUUCCGGUGACUUUUCCCGAGAAAGAGGCAGGCAUCGACUUGUACAUCGUAUAGUCUCAUUUGGCUAACCUUGCUGUUCUUCUUCGCAAAAUCCAAUGUGGCAUGGGCACCCAAAGAGUCGACAUUGCGUUUCAACACCAUCUGAGAGUCAACGUAGCUCCGAUUGUUUAUCUGGGAGAUUUGAAACUCGAACGUUUCGACAAAGUCCGGAUCCAGCGACGACACGAUGAUCUCAUCAAGGAUAAAGCGAAAAUUACGCUCUGUCCUCACGUCCCUGGGUGUGGAGAGCAUGAGGAACCAGCAGAUCCAAAACACAGUGCCCAUAGCUAAGGGUAAGAAUGUACUCGUGCUGUUCGUGAAAU